AGAUUGAACGCUGGCGGCAUGCCUUACACAUGCAAGUCGAACGGCAGCACGGGAGCAAUCCUGGUGGCGAGUGGCGAACGGGUGAGUAAUACAUCGGAACGUGCCCAAUCGUGGGGGAUAACGCAGCGAAAGCUGUGCUAAUACCGCAUAAGAUCUACGGAUGAAAGCAGGGGAUCGCAAGACCUUGCGCGAAUGGAGCGGCCGAUGGCAGAUUAGGUAGUUGGUGAGGUAAAGGCUCACCAAGCCUUCGAUCUGUAGCUGGUCUGAGAGGACGACCAGCCACACUGGGACUGAGACACGGCCCAGACUCCUACGGGAGGCAGCAGUGGGGAAUUUUGGACAAUGGGCGAAAGCCUGAUCCAGCCAUGCCGCGUGCAGGAUGAAGGCCGUUCGGUGUAAACUGUCUUUUGUAACGGAACGAAAGUCUUACUUUACUAAUAAAGAGGAUACGAUAGACGGUAACCGUAAGAAUAAGCACGACUAACUACGUACG
rnacentral:rRNA from 1 species